rnacentral:rRNA from 1 species
CCAGACUCCUACGGGAGGCAGCAGUGGGGAAUAUUGCACAAUGGGGGAAACCCUGAUGCAGCGACGCCGCGUGGGUGAAGAAGUAUUUCGGUAUGUAAAGCUCUAUCAGCAGGGAAGAUAAUGACGGUACCUGAGUAAGAAGCCCCGGCUAACUACGUGCCAGCAGCCGCGGUAAUACGUAGGGGGCAAGCGUUAUCCGGAUUUACUGGGUGUAAAGGGAGCGUAGACGGCAUGGCAAGUCUGAAGUGAAAGCCCGGGGCUCAACCGCGGGACUGCUUUGGAAACUGUUAAGCUGGAGUGCAGGAGAGGUAAGUGGAAUUCCUAGUGUAGCGGUGAAAUGCGUAGAUAUUAGGAGGAACACCAGUGGCGAAGGCGGCUUACUGGACUGUAACUGACGUUGAGGCACGAAAGUGUGGGGAGCAAACAGGAUUAGAUACCCUUGUA